AGGGGUAAAUCAAAAUUUGAACAGUAAAAAAACAGACAGAAAUAUUCUCUGUAAAUAAGUGAAAUGCAUCAAAAUAAAAGAAUGUGAGAACUUUUAAAUUCCAUUAUUACAAAAAGAAUGGAAGCUGAAAAUGUGUAAAUUUUAUAAAUUACAUAUUUUAAUUUUUUAUGUAUUCCUACGAUGAAAGUUCAAUGUAGAAAGUAUGUAUAGUGUUUUCAGAUUAGACACUUACAUUAUUAUCUUGUCUUAGAAACUUGUCCAGUAAAGGUUUUUUUAUCUUAAAAUCUUAUAAGGAGCGGCUGAAGGAAUUGGGAUUGUUUAGUCUGAAGAAGAGGAGGCUCAGGGGAAACCUUGUAGCUCUCUACAAUUACUUGAAAUGGGAUUGUGGUGAGGUGGGGGUCAACCUCUUCUCCCUUGUAACAAGCAAUAGGACUAGAGGGAACGGUAUCAAAGUGUAGCAGGGGAGGUUUAGGUUGGAUAUUAGGAAAAAUUUCUUCUCAAAAGAGUGGUCAGGAGCUGGAAUAGCCUGCCUAGAGAGGUGAUUGAGUCACCAUCUGUAUGGGAACUGCUGAGUCAUGGCCUGAACCUCUGAUCACCUGAGGUGAGCAAUGAGUCAGCCAGAGGAGCACAGGUGAAGGCAAUUCACCUGUGCUGCCGGAAGACUUAUUUAAGAGCUGGCUACCAGCAGGGAAGGAUCUCUUCUGGAAAUCUGUUCUGCUGGAGUUUGUAAGUGAGCCCAGGAUAGGGGCGUAAAAAAUAUUUUCAUUAAAAGAAAACUAAGUGGGCAGAAGGGGAACACCAAUCUGGCAGUACUUUACAGACUGGAGAAUUCAAGACUAAAGAAACCAGGAAUCAUGGAUAUGCUCCCAGGCAUAGCCAGUAUCACAGAUGC